UUCAGAAAGGCCUUUUUGAACCUUCAGAAAGGCUGCUGAAUCUUCAGAAAGGCCUUUCCGAACCUUCAGAAAGGCUGCUGAA
ensembl:miRNA